rnacentral:rRNA from 1 species
CGUGUAGGCGGGGACAUAAGUCCGAUGUGAAAGCCCAUGGCUCAACCAUGGGACUGCAUCGGAAACUGUGUUUCUUGAGUGCUGGAGAGGAAAGCGGGAUUCCUAGUGUAGCGGUGAAAUGCGUAGAGAUUAGGAGGAACACCAGUGGCGAAGGCGGCUUUCUGGACAGUAACUGACGCUGAGGCGCGAAAGCGUGGGGAGCAAACAGGAUUAGAUACCCUGGUAGUCCACGCUGUAAACGAUGGAUACUAGGUGUAGGAGGUAUCGACCCCUUCUGUGCCGGAGUUAACACAAUAAGUAUCCCACCUGGGGAGUACGGCCGCAAGGUUGAA